AGUGAACGCUGGCGGUAGGCCUAACACAUGCAAGUCGAACGGCAGCACAGUAAGAGCUUGCUCUUACGGGUGGCGAGUGGCGGACGGGUGAGGAAUACAUCGGAAUCUACUUUUUCGUGGGGGAUAACGUAGGGAAACUUACUCUCAUACCGCAUACGACCUACGGGUGAAAGCAGGGGAUCUUCGGACCUUGCGCGAUUGAAUGAGCCGAUGUCGGAUUAGCUAGUUGGCGGGGUAAAGGCCCACCAAGGCGACGAUCCGUAGCUGGUCUGAGAGGAUGAUCAGCCACACUGGAACUGAGACACGGUCCAGACUCCUACGGGAGGCAGCAGUGGGGAAUAUUGGACAAUGGGCGCAAGCCUGAUCCAGCCAUACCGCGUGGGUGAAGAAGGCCUUCGGGUUGUAAAGCCCUUUUGUUGGGAAAGAAAAGCAGCAGGUUAAUACCCCGCUGUUCUGACGGUACCCAAAGAAUAAGCACCGGCUAACUUCGUG
rnacentral:rRNA from 1 species